AAUCGAAGCAGUGAACUUAAGCCCCAGUAAACGGCGGCCGUAACUAUAACGGUCCUAAGGUAGCGAAAUUCCUUGUCGGGUAAGUUCCGACCCGCACGAAAGGCGUAACGAUUUGGGCACUGUCUCAACAACAGACCCGGUGAAAUUGUAAUUCCGGUGAAGAUGCCGGAUACCUGCGACAGGACGGAAAGACCCCAUGGAGCUUUACUGUAGCUUGACAUUGGGUCUUGGUACUACAUGUACAGGAUAGGUGGGAGGCUUGAAACCAGGACGCCAGUUUUGGCGGAGCCAUCCUUGGGAUACCACCCUU
rnacentral:rRNA from 1 species